AUUGAACGCUGGCGGCAGGCCUAACACAUGCAAGUCGAACGAGUGGCGGACGGGUGGGCAAUUUCUGGGCAACUGCCUGAUGGAGGGGGAUAACUACUGGAAACGGUAGCUAAUACCGCAUACCCUCGGAUGUGCCCAGAGGGGAGUAGCUAGUAGGGGGGGUAAAGGCUCACCUAGGGGACGAUCCCUAGCUGGGCUGAGAGGAUGAACAGCCCCACUGGAACUGAGACACGGUCCAGACUCCUACGGGAGGCAGCAGUGGGGAAUAUUGCACAAUGGGCGCAAGCCUGAGGCAGCCAUGCCGCGUGUAUGAAGAAGGUCUUCGGGUUGUAAAGUACUGUCAGCGGGGAGGCGGUACCUGCAGAAGAAGCACCGGCUAACUCCGUGCCAGCAGCCGCGGUAAUUC
rnacentral:rRNA from 1 species